rnacentral:rRNA from 1 species
UUUAUGGAGAGUUUGAUCCUGGCUCAGGAUGAACGCUGGCGGCGUGCCUAAUACAUGCAAGUCGAGCGAACGGACGAGAAGCUUGCUUCUCUGAUGUUAGCGGCGGACGGGUGAGUAACACGUGGAUAACCUACCUAUAAGACUGGGAUAACUUCGGGAAACCGGAGCUAAUACCGGAUAAUAUUUUGAACCGCAUGGUUCAAAAGUGAAAGACGGUCUUGCUGUCACUUAUAGAUGGAUCCGCGCUGCAUUAGCUAGUUGGUAAGGUAACGGCUUACCAAGGCAACGAUGCAUAGCCGACCUGAGAGGGUGAUCGGCCACACUGGAACUGAGACACGGUCCAGACUCCUACGGGAGGCAGCAGUAGGGAAUCUUCCGCAAUGGGCGAAAGCCUGACGGAGCAACGCCGCGUGAGUGAUGAAGGUCUUCGGAUCGUAAAACUCUGUUAUUAGGGAAGAACAUAUGUGUAAGUAACUGUGCACAUCUUGACGGUACCUAAUCAGAAAGCCACGGCUAACUACGUGCCAGCAGCCGCGGUAAUACGUAGGUGGCAAGCGUUAUCCGGAAUUAUUGGGCGUAAAGCGCGCGUAGGCGGUUUUUUAAGUCUGAUGUGAAAGCCCACGGCUCAACCGUGGAGGGUCAUUGGAAACUGGAAAACUUGAGUGCAGAAGAGGAAAGUGGAAUUCCAUGUGUAGCGGUGAAAUGCGCAGAGAUAUGGAGGAACACCAGUGGCGAAGGCGACUUUCUGGUCUGUAACUGACGCUGAUGUGCGAAAGCGUGGGGAUCAAACAGGAUUAGAUACCCUGGUAGUCCACGCCGUAAACGAUGAGUGCUAAGUGUUAGAGGGUUUCCGCCCCUUAGUGCUGCAGCUAACGCAUUAAGCACUCCGCCUGGGGAGUACGACCGCAAGGUUGAAACUCAAAGGAAUUGACGGGGACCCGCACAAGCGGUGGAGCAUGUGGUUUAAUUCGAAGCAACGCGAAGAACCUUACCAAAUCUUGACAUCCUUUGACAACUCUAGAGAUAGAGCCUUCCCCUUCGGGGGACAAAGUGACAGGUGGUGCAUGGUUGUCGUCAGCUCGUGUCGUGAGAUGUUGGGUUAAGUCCCGCAACGAGCGCAACCCUUAAGCUUAGUUGCCAUCAUUAAGUUGGGCACUCUAAGUUGACUGCCGGUGACAAACCGGAGGAAGGUGGGGAUGACGUCAAAUCAUCAUGCCCCUUAUGAUUUGGGCUACACACGUGCUACAAUGGACAAUACAAAGGGCAGCGAAACCGCGAGGUCAAGCAAAUCCCAUAAAGUUGUUCUCAGUUCGGAUUGUAGUCUGCAACUCGACUACAUGAAGCUGGAAUCGCUAGUAAUCGUAGAUCAGCAUGCUACGGUGAAUACGUUCCCGGGUCUUGUACACACCGCCCGUCACACCACGAGAGUUUGUAACACCCGAAGCCGGUGGAGUAACCUUUUAGGAGCUAGCCGUCGAAGGUGGGACAAAUGAUUGGGGUGAAGUCGUAACAAGGUAGCCGUAUCGGAAGGUGCGGCU